GGGGCCGUAGUCUAGCAUGGAUAAGGCACCAGCCUCCGGAGUUGGGUAUCGCCGGUUCAAAUCCGGCCGGUCCCGCCA
rnacentral:tRNA from 2 species